rnacentral:rRNA from 1 species
AGAAUCAACGCUGGCGGCGUGCCUAACACAUGCAAGUCGUACGAGAAAGUGGAGCAAUCCAUGAGUACAGUGGCGACCGGGUGAGUAACACGUGACUAACCUACCCUCGAGUGGGGAAUAACUCCGGGAAACCGGAGCUAAUACCGCAUAAUAUCGCGAGAUCAAAGCAGCAAUGCGCUUGAGGAGGGGGUCGCGGCUGAUUAGCUAGUUGGCGGGUAACGGCCCACCAAGGCGAAGAUCGGUA